rnacentral:rRNA from 1 species
ACGGUGGAUGCCUUGGCACUAGAAGCCGAUGAAGGACGUUACUAACGACGAUAUGCUUUGGGUAGCUGUAAGUAAGCGUUGAUCCAGAGAUUUCCGAAUGGGGGAACCCAGCAUGAGUUAUGUCAUGUUAUCGACAUGUGAAUUCAUAGCAUGUCAGAAGGCAGACCCGGAGAACUGAAACAUCUUAGUACCCGGAGGAAGAGAAAGAAAAAUCGAUUCCCUGAGUAGCGGCGAGCGAAACGGGAAGAGCCCAAACCAACAAGCUUGCUUGUUGGGGUUGUAGGACACUCUAUACGGAGUUACAAAAGAACAUGUUAGACGAAUCAUCUGGAAAGAUGAAUCAAAGAAGGUAAUAAUCCUGUAGUCGAAAACAUAUUCUCUCUUGAGUGGAUCCUGAGUACGACGGAGCACGUGAAAUUCCGUCGGAAUCUGGGAGGACCAUCUCCUAAGGCUAAAUACUCUCUAGUGACCGAUAGUGAACCAGUACCGUGAGGGAAAGGUGAAAAGUACCCCGGAAGGGGAGUGAAAGAGAACUUGAAACCGUGUGCUUACAAGUAGUCAGAGCCCGUUAAUGGGUGAUGGCGUGCCUUUUGUAGAAUGAACCGGCGAGUUACGAUCUGAUGCAAGGUUAAGCAGCAAAUGUGGAGCCGCAGCGAAAGCGAGUCUGAAUAGGGCGUUGAGUAUUUGGUCGUAGACCCGAAACCAGGUGAUCUACCCUUGGUCAGGUUGAAGUUCAGGUAACACUGAAUGGAGGACCGAACCGACUUACGUUGAAAAGUGAGCGGAUGAACUGAGGGUAGCGGAGAAAUUCCAAUCGAACUUGGAGAUAGCUGGUUCUCUCCGAAAUAGCUUUAGGGCUAGCCUCAAGUGAUGAUUAUUGGAGGUAGAGCACUGUUUGGACGAGGGGCCCCUCUCGGGUUACCGAAUUCAGACAAACUCCGAAUGCCAAUUAAUUUAACUUGGGAGUCAGAACAUGGGUGAUAAGGUCCGUGUUCGAAAGGGAAACAGCCCAGACCACCAGCUAAGGUCCCAAAAUAUAUGUUAAGUGGAAAAGGAUGUGGCGUUGCCCAGACAACUAGGAUGUUGGCUUAGAAGCAGCCAUCAUUUAAAGAGUGCGUAAUAGCUCACUAGUCGAGUGACACUGCGCCGAAAAUGUACCGGGGCUAAACAUAUUACCGAAGCUGUGGAUUGUCCUUUGGACAAUGGUAGGAGAGCGUUCUAAGGGCGUCGAAGCAUGAUCGCAAGGACAUGUGGAGCGCUUAGAAGUGAGAAUGCCGGUGUGAGUAGCGAAAGACGGGUGAGAAUCCCGUCCACCGAUUGACUAAGGUUUCCAGAGGAAGGCUCGUCCGCUCUGGGUUAGUCGGGUCCUAAGCUGAGGCCGACAGGCGUAGGCGAUGGAUAACAGGUUGAUAUUCCUGUACCACCUAGUAUCGUUUUAAUCGAUGGGGGGACGCAGUAGGAUAGGCGAAGCGUGCUGUUGGAGUGCACGUCCAAGCAGUAAGGCUGAGUGUUAGGCAAAUCCGGCACUCAUAAGGCUGAGCUGUGAUGGGGAGAGGAAAUUGUUUCCUCGAGUCGUUGAUUUCACACUGCCGAGAAAAGCCUCUAGAUAGAUAACAGGUGCCCGUACCGCAAACCGACACAGGUAGUCAAGAUGAGAAUUCUAAGGUGAGCGAGCGAACUCUCGUUAAGGAACUCGGCAAAAUGACCCCGUAACUUCGGGAGAAGGGGUGCUCUUUAGGGUUCACGCCCAGAAGAGCCGCAGUGAAUAGGCCCAAGCGACUGUUUAUCAAAAACACAGGUCUCUGCUAAACCGUAAGGUGAUGUAUAGGGGCUGACGCCUGCCCGGUGCUGGAAGGUUAAGAGGAGUGGUUAGCUUCUGCGAAGCUACGAAUCGAAGCCCCAGUAAACGGCGGCCGUAACUAUAACGGUCCUAAGGUAGCGAAAUUCCUUGUCGGGUAAGUUCCGACCCGCACGAAAGGCGUAACGAUUUGGGCACUGUCUCAACGAGAGACUCGGUGAAAUCAUAGUACCUGUGAAGAUGCAGGUUACCCGCGACAGGACGGAAAGACCCCGUGGAGCUUUACUGUAGCCUGAUAUUGAAAUUCGGCACAGCUUGUACAGGAUAGGUAGGAGCCUUUGAAACGUGAGCGCUAGCUUACGUGGAGGCGUUGGUGGGAUACUACCCUAGCUGUGUUGGCUUUCUAACCCGCACCACUUAUCGUGGUGGGAGACAGUGUCAGGCGGGCAGUUUGACUGGGGCGGUCGCCUCCUAAAAGGUAACGGAGGCGCUCAAAGGUUCCCUCAGAAUGGUUGGAAAUCAUUCAUAGAGUGUAAAGGCAUAAGGGAGCUUGACUGCGAGACCUACAAGUCGAGCAGGGUCGAAAGACGGACUUAGUGAUCCGGUGGUUCCGCAUGGAAGGGCCAUCGCUCAACGGAUAAAAGCUACCCCGGGGAUAACAGGCUUAUCUCCCCCAAGAGUUCACAUCGACGGGGAGGUUUGGCACCUCGAUGUCGGCUCAUCGCAUCCUGGGGCUGUAGUCGGUCCCAAGGGUUGGGCUGUUCGCCCAUUAAAGCGGUACGCGAGCUGGGUUCAGAACGUCGUGAGACAGUUCGGUCCCUAUCCGUCGUGGGCGUAGGAAAUUUGAGAGGAGCUGUCCUUAGUACGAGAGGACCGGGAUGGACAUACCUCUGGUGUACCAGUUGUCGUGCCAACGGCAUAGCUGGGUAGCUAUGUAUGGACGGGAUAAGUGCUGAAAGCAUCUAAGCAUGAAGCCCCCCUCAAGAUGAGAUUUCCCAACUUCGGUUAUAAGAUCCCUCGAAGAUGACGAGGUUAAUAGGUUCGAGGUGGAAGCGUGGUGACACGUGGAGCUGACGAAUACUAAUCGAUCGAAGACUUAAUCAAUUUUUAAA